UGUGAUGUAACUCUCAGUCUACUGGCAAUGU
rnacentral:piRNA from 1 species